UACGUAGGGGGGCAAGCGUUGUCCGGAUUUAUUGGGCGUAAAGAGCGUGUAGGCGGCUUGACAGGUCUGCUGUGAAAACUCGAGGCUCAACCUCGAGAUGUCGGCGGAAACUGUCUGGCUAGAGUCCGGAAGAGGAGAGUGGAAUCCAGGUGUAGCGGUGAAAUGCAUAGAUAUCUGGAGGAACACCAGUGGCGAAGGCGGCUCACUGGCCCGAUACUGACGCUGAGGUGCGAAAGCGUGGGGAGCAAACAGG
rnacentral:rRNA from 1 species